GAUGAACGCCGGCGGCGUGCCUAAUACAUGCAAGUCGAGCGAACAGACGAGGAGCUUGCUCCUCUGACGUUAGCGGCGGACGGGUGAGUAACACGUGGAUAACCUACCUAUAAGACUGGGAUAACUUCGGGAAACCGGAGCUAAUACCGGAUAAUAUAUUAAACCGCAUGGUUCAAUAGUGAAAGACGGUUUUGCUGUCACUUAUAGAUGGAUCCGCGCCGCAUUAGCUAGUUGGUAAGGUAACGGCUUACCAAGGCAACGAUGCGUAGCCGACCUGAGAGGGUGAUCGGCCACACUGGAACUGAGACACGGUCCAGACUCCUACGGGAGGCAGCAGUAGGGAAUCUUCCGCAAUGGGCGAAAGCCUGACGGAGCAACGCCGCGUGAGUGAUGAAGGUCUUCGGAUCGUAAAACUCUGUUAUUGGGGAAGAACAAAUGUGUAAGUAACUAUGCACGUCUUGACGGUACCUAAUCAGAAAGCCCCGGCUAACUACGUG
rnacentral:rRNA from 1 species